AUAGCAUGCAGUGGCCUGAUGUGGGAUCCUAGUUCCCAGACCGGGGAUUGAACCCAGGCCACAGUGUUUUCUUCUGUUAAUCUGUCUUAUGUCAAUUUAAUUAUUAGGUCAGCUAAAGAACCCAGUUGGAGGGAAGGAGGGGUUUUCCUCCCCUUCAGGGGGUAACUCUCUCCACCAGCUCUCAGCCUCCAUCUUGGGGUGGCUCUGGUCCAGAUCCCACUGGGGUGCUACUUUGAGACAAGCUAUUUCUUUUUUUUCCCCCUGAGUCCAAAGUGAUUGUCUUGGAAACUCCCCCUCCUCCUUUGGCAAAACAAGCGACAACAAACAAUACCAAAAUGAAAAAGUGGGCCCUGUCUCUCUUUGUGAACUGACAUACUGCAUUCUGGAUCACUUGUGAGGAAGCACAUUACCAGCCAUUCCUGAUCUCCAGCUUAUCUAGCGUCAGCCUCUCCUGAGGAGGGAACCACACUUUGAGAUCCGUGGCCCGAUAGAAAGCUGCAUAAACUCCAUCAGUUUAUCACUAGUGUAGUAAAGGGAACCCUACUGGUAACUCUGCACUGUAGAAAAUCCCUAUGGCAUCACGCAUGCACGGGGAACCUCUUGCCAGCUCCUACCCACCUGGAUGCACAAGUCCAGCCUAAGGAGGUGUUGGGGGUCUCCAAGCUUUGCAUCUUCCCUGAGCCUAGAGGUUUAAAGUUUCCUUUCUUCUUGUUCUUGCUGAAUCAGAUUAAAUAAAGAAGCAUUAGCAAUACAAAGAAUUUAAUGGAGUGGUUAAUGGUGCGGGUGAUGUCAAUAGGAAUUUGGCAGCAUCUGUGAGGAUAAUCGGAGAGAAAUAAUCAAGAGUUGACAACCCUUCUUUCAGAAAGCAAAAUUGCCUGGUUCUGGUUAGACCAGUUGUUAUUGGCUUCCCUGCCUGCAAAAAUGUCACAGUAAUUCCAAUGGAGCUGUUUACACAAGUGGAAAUAUCUGACUCCUUGAUAACAUGUUUCAGUUGCAAACCCUUUAAUGACAUUCAGAGGCCUUCCAGUAAGAGAGAAAUUUCCUCCCAACUAAGGGAGCAGUUAUCUGGAAACAGUGCCCUUCCUCAGUACGGUUAUUUAUGUUCAUUGGGCUAAUGGUUUUUGUCCAGUAAUACAUUUAAAUUGCUUUUCAUUUUAUAGUUAUGCUUUGCUAUCACAUUUCAGAAAGUGGCUUCUCUUCCUCUGUACAGCCGGCAAUUUCCUCAAGUAUGCGAUGACAGCAUUGUCCUUUCGAAGUCAUUUGAAAUAGACUCGGUCUCAGCCACCUCUCAGGAGAAUAUUCUCUGGCUGAUAAUCAUAGCCAAGCGGAAAGUACAAAUGAUCUCAGGCCGCCUGAAGUUCCUUUUUCUCUCUGGUUCCCUGGAGGCCCAGGAGGGUGAGGGUUCGCCUGUAGAUCUGGGAAGGAGCCCUGUAUUCAGCCUCUCAUGUUACCCAAAAAACCAGCCCCCAACUUGGAUAUUAGAAGUGUAAAGAUGGGGAGUUCCCAUCGUGGCUCAGAGAAAACGAAUCUGACUAGUAUCCAUGAGGACACAGGUUCGAUCCCUGACUUCGCUCAGUGGGUUAAGGAUCCGGUGUUGCCAUGAACUGUGGUGUAGGUUGCAGACACACCUCGGAUCCUGUGUUGCUGUGACUAUGAUGUAGGCUGGCAGCUGUAGCUCCAAUUCGACCCCUAGCCUGGGAAUCUCCAUAUACCACUGGUGAGGCCCUAANUGGAAUUUGCUUAUUUGCUUAUAGUGGAUUAAGGAACAAGCAUUGUCACUGCAGUGGCUUGGGUCCUGCUGUGGCACAGGGUCAAUCCCCGGCCCAGGAACUUCCAUAUGCUGCAGGCAUGGCAAGAAGGAAAAACAAUGAAAAAUAAAAAAAAAAAAAGAAGUGUAAGGAUUGAGAGGAGACACUCUGCAAAUGAUUUAUAAACUGAGUCAUAUUUAUCAGGUGUGGAUGACAAAGAAAGGGGGCUCUGUAGAAACAAAUAAAAUUAGAUUUAUACAGCUUUGUAGCAAAUAUUUCUCAAUAAAACUUGACAGCUCACGGGCAGUUUAGAAAAAAGAGUAUUCUUUUAAAACUGGAGGAAAAAAGGUAGAUGUAGCUGUGGAAUGAAUUUGAAGCACAGAAUUCUAUUUAAACAUAUUGGGUAAUAACUGUAACAUAAGUGCUAUCAAAUACUAACUUUUGAAAAACAGAGGUAAAAAACUUACAUGAAAAUGGAUCAUGUGUCUGCCUGAUUUUCAAGCUGAGAAUUGUGUGU
rnacentral:lncRNA from 1 species